GACAACAGCCAUGUCACCCUGCAGCCCAAGACCGGUUACUAACUGAAGCUAAGCAGGGCUGAGCCUGGUCAGUACCUGGAUGGGAGACCACUAGGGAACACUAGGUUGCUGUUGGAA
rnacentral:rRNA from 1 species